rnacentral:pre_miRNA from 1 species
CAAUUAAUUAUAAGAUGACACAUCAUCACUCGUGUAAAACAAAAAAUAUUGAAGGGUUUAAAAAUAAAUAUAAACAAAUUUAUUUGAAAAAAUAAAUAUUAAUUAUAUUUAUUAAACAUAAAUAAAUAUAAAAACAUCAAAUUCAAGACCCAAACCUCAAAACCUGAAAUACAAAAAUUAAAAGUCAAAACUAGAAACCUAAAACUCGAGAUCCAAAACCUAAAGGAGAAACAAAAUAAUUAUAAUUAUUAAUAUUUAAUAAUGUUUAAAUAAAGUUAAUUUUAUUUAUUUUUCAAGUGAUUUGAUAUUUUUUAUUUUAUAUCAUUGGUGAUGUAUCGUCUUAUUAAUAAUU